AAAAGGUUGAAAAGUAUAGAUGGCCAAAUUUCUCAAAAACUUUUAUGCUAUAAUACUUCUUCUUUCCUUGUUUCUUACUUUAUUCCAUAUUGUUGCUUGGGACUGUGUUUCCGAUUGUGAAGCCAUGUAUAGGUGUGAGUCUCCAAAUAGAACUAUGAAGUGUUUUAUGUAUGUAUGUGUGUGCUGGUGGUGGUAACAAUUAUACUUUAUGGUUAUAAGAAGCUAUUAGUAGAGUUUCACUGAUGAAAGAUGAAAGAUGAGUAGAGGAUUAUGCCUAAUUUGUUUUUUUUUGAGAUUUUUAGUAUAGUUGGUUUUCUUGUAUUUCUUAUAAUUUAUUUACUACAAAAGUUAUGUUAUUAUUCAUAAACAUGUCUCAAAAGAAAUAUACAAUAAAGUAAGUCUCAAACAAAGGCACAAUAAAGCAUAUUUAUGAAUUAAUUUACAACUAAAUAGAUUUAGGAUAACAGGGUUGUACUAAUUUAAUGUGAUUA